AAAGUCGUAACAAGGUUUCCGUAGGUGAACCUGCGGAAGGAUCAUUAACCGCGUAGAGCCCACCGAGCACGAGGGACCAUGUCGACCACCCUCCCUGCCGCUUUGGCUGGGGGGAAAUAGAGGUCGUCUGGACCGCGCUGCGUGCGUGGGCAACUCACACCCUCCGCGUACACUCUCCUGUUGCUUCCGCGGGGCGCGCACGCGCCCCGCGGACGGUACUGAAGAAAAAGCAUUGCAGCAUCGUCAUGCCUCACAGUCUGAACGUCGAUCUAUGAAGAUUAAAACUUUCAACAACGGAUCUCUUGGUUCUC
rnacentral:misc_RNA from 1 species